rnacentral:rRNA from 1 species
CGUAAUGCGCAAUUAACGGAUCACCCUUGUGUUUGUCGGACUUCGGUCCGUGCAUCGUGGAGGGCUGACCGGCGUAGCCUCUCGGAAGCUCGGGCAAUGGGGGGUGCACUUCUGSCCCAAGUAGGUCGUCGCGGCCGUUUUGAGGGUGUCGAUGACACGAGGGUCAGGGAAAUCGCAUCUUCUCGGCGGCGUGGAGUGACACCCUACUCGGGUCGUCUCUUCUGCCGUCGCGUGGUGCGAGGCCGCCUCGUUGUUCUGACGGCCCUCGGGACGGUUAAAUCAUGGCUAAAGCUGGGCCCGUACUGGGUGGUCUUAGCUUUCUUUCGCUUUCUUUCAUUAGAUCGCGAGUCGAAGGCGACGAUACCCGAUUAAAGGUACGGCGUCCGCUGCGCGACGCUUUGUUAUUGGCGGCUGCUUACUCGUCCCGUCUUGAAACACGGACCAAGGAGUCUAGACUAUGCGCGAGUCAAAGGGCUGGCUAAACCCCAAGGCGAAACGAAAGUGAAUUCUUUUCAUUGGGCCGAUCCGGUUCGGUGAAGGAUUCGGGGACUCCGUCCUCGGGUUCCGACCCGAUUUGUCGUCUUAAGAUGCGGACGGCGCAGGCCCGGGGCCCGCAUACGCGACCUCUCCGCCGUAAGGCUAGGUUGUCCGAACCAUGUGCGUUGCUCUGAAAGGGGAUUGUCGUGUCGGCCGCGUAGCUGAGGGGUCGUUUGUCGUCGUCGUAGUGGUAGUAGUAGCAGUUCUGCUGUUGCUGCUCCCGCUGCUUCUUCGGCAUCGGCUUCCCGUACGCGGUUCCGCUCGACCUUUCUUCCUUUCAUAAAAGCUUCGCGAGUGGCGGACUUCCCGCUGGCGGGGACGAGCAGCGGGUUCUCUGAGCGCAUAGUCUGKUACCCGAAAGAUGGUGAACUAUGCCUGGCCAGGAUGAAGCCAGAGGAAACUCUGGGUGGAAGUCCGUAGCGAUUCUGACGUGCAAAUCGAUCGUCUGAGCUGGGCAUAGGGGCGAAAGACCAAUCGAACA